GGCUAGCAGUUCUACGACAACAUACUACCUGUUAAGUUUGAGUGAACAUUAAAAACAUAAUUGUGACGCAAAGUGUUAAUAAAAAGAUAAUAAAAUAUCACAGAAAUUGAGUGAGCUAAAGCGUUUUCCGGAUGAAAAGAAAGACUAAAAUCAAACAAAAUGUUUUUAGACAAAGCAAAGGCUUACAAUGAAACGAACUGUUUGCAAAGACAAGAUGCUGAAGAUACGUUAAGUGAGUUAGUCAAUAAAGUGAAGUGGUUAACAGAAGGUGGUGAUAGUGUUCUACACAUCGGCAGCCGUAGCGGCGAUGUUCUGUUCGACUACAUUUUUCCACUGUUACCGAAGAACUUUUCAAGGCUGGUCGGUAUCGAUAAAUCGGAAGAAAUGAUUUCCUAUGCGAUGGAAAACUAUCGUCAUCCGAAAUUGUUUUUUGACCGUGCUGAUAUCAUCAAUGCGGAUGAUGUCAACCGAUUACUGAACCAAUUUGGUCAAUUCGAUCAUAUCACCACCUUGUGCAGUUUGCAUUGGGUCAUGGACCAGGAGCUCGCUUUCAAAAAUAUUUUCAAUCUAUUGGACCCACAUGGAGACAUCUUGAUAACAAUGUGCGAACGCCAUCCGCUGUACGAACACUAUCGAGACAUGAUGGCACUGGAUAAGUGGAGCGAUUAUCGAGAACAAAUGAAAUUGAGUACGUCACCGUAUUUCGGGGUUUCGGAUCCAGUGAAAAUGUUGAAAGAGAUAUUGGAAAAGGUUGGAUUUAAAUAUGUUCAUGUUGAGUUGAAGGAACGCUUGGUCCGGUACGAGAAACAGGUUUUUAUCGAUGCAACAAGCCCCUGCGCUCCGAUUUUAUGUCACCUUCCUGAGAGUCUGCGUCGAGAAUUUCUCAGUAUCUACGAACAGAAAGUCAUGCAGAUGUCGCAAAACACGUACAAAACACAAAACAAUCGCAUUAUUACCGUACCGUAUCGCCAAUUGAUUGCGUAUGCGAAAAAAGGAAACAACACAAAUAUUCACAUCGACAUAAACUACUACGCACAUGUACAUCGUGUUCCUCUUAAGAUUGACGAAGUUCGUAUGUACAACGCGAAAUGUUAUCACGCCACAAAUUGUAUGCAGCGUAAAGAUGCUUUAGACACCAUAACGGAGUACCAAGGAAUGUUCCAAUGGUCACCAAAGGGAGAUGAUAGCCUGUUAGAUAUAGGGACUGGCAGCGGUGACGUCACACUUGAUUAUAUCCUGCCUAUUUUACCACAAAAAUCGCAAAUAGUUGCCAGUGAUAAGUCGCAGGAAAUGCUUGAUUAUGCCAGUACGCAUUUCUCGCAUCCUCGAAUAUCGUUCGCUAAACUAGACAUCGAAAGUGAAAACGAUGUGAAUGAGGUGUUACGGAAGUACGGACAAUUUCAGCAUAUCACUUCAUUUUGUGCCUUACAUUGGGCGUUAAAACAAUAUUUGGUGAUGGAGAAUAUCUUCAGUUUGUUACAACCUGGCGGCGACAUAUUGAUUACCAUUUGUCAGCAUCAUCCGUUGUACGAACAUUACGCUGACAUGUCUGAACUUUCAAAAUGGUCGCCUUAUAGACCGGAUAUGAAAAAGAGUACGACACCAUAUUUUCGAAACGAAAAUCCCGAAAAGGAGCUGUAUAUGCGACUGGAGCGGGCUGGAUUCGUAGACAUCAAUGUCGUUUUAAAGAGACGGAUCUUCCAUUUCGAUAGUCAAGUAUUCCUUGAUUCUACUGUCCCAGUCGCACCAUUUCUAGACAAAAUAUCAGAGUCAUUGAAAGAAGAAUUCCUGCAGAUAUACAUAAACAAGGUAAUGACAAUGAAUCUGCCUGCACCAUAUAAAUCGAACAGGGAACGGAACGAUGGAAAAACUAUCAUUCCAUUUUGCAUGUUGGUGGCCCAUGCAAAGAAGCCGAGUACAGAAGAUACUCAUGUUUGAAGACGGUUCUCAACUUACUUUCCAGGUUUUUAAUUCACGUUUUAUAUUUUAAGCCGUGUACUAUGUAAGCACAUUGGAGAGUGACUGCUGUAAGUAUGAAUUUGUUUUAAAAUGUUACGAAUAAAAGCAACCCAUGAA